rnacentral:rRNA from 1 species
CGGGAGGCAGCAGUGGGGAAUUUUGGACAAUGGGGGCAACCCUGAUCCAGCAAUGCCGCGUGAGUGAAGAAGGCCUUCGGGUUGUAAAGCUCUUUUGUCAGGGAAGAAACACCGGCUCUAACACAGUCCGGGAAUGACGGUAC